rnacentral:rRNA from 1 species
UGGGGAAUAUUGCACAAUGGGCGCAAGCCCGAUGCAGCAACGCCGCGUGAGGGACGACGGCCUUCGGGUUGUAAACCUCUUUUAGUAGGGAAGAAGCGAAAGUGACGGUACCUGCAGAAAAAGCACCGGCUAACUACGUGCCAGCAGCCGCGGUAAUACGUAGGGUGCGAGCGUUGUCCGGAAUUAUUGGGCGUAAAGAGCUCGUAGGCGGUCUGUCGCGUCUGCUGUGAAAACCCGAGGCUCAACCUCGGGCCUGCAGUGGGUACGGGCAGACUAGAGUGCGGUAGGGGAGAAUGGAAUUCCUGGUGUAGCGGUGGAAUGCGCAGAUAUCAGGAGGAACACCGAUGGCGAAGGCAGUUCUCUGGGCCGUAACUGACGCUGAGGAGCGAAAGCGUGGGGAGCGAACAGGAUUAGAUACCCUGGUAGUCCACGCCGUAAACGUUGGGCGCUAGAUGUGGGGACCAUUCCACGGUUUCCGUGUCGCAGCUAACGCAUUAAGCGCCCCGCCUGGGGAGUACGGCCGCAAGGCUAAAACUU